AGGACUUGCCAUUAGGUUCUCCUCUUUACGAUCGACAGUCGAGCGCAGGAAGUCGAUAUCGUAGCAGGUGUCUUGAAAAAUAGUCUUCUUCGUUUGUCGUGUUUUUCAAAAUUAACGUGUGCAUUCACCUAUUUUUUUUUCUUUUCAAUUUAUUAAUUUGACAUUUUUGAUAAUUCUCAUUAGUCUAUUUUUUAUUUAAUUUUUAUCAUUGUGCACCAGUGUGUGGUCGUGAUCGUGAUUAUGUAUAAAAUUCCUUUAUAAAAGGAUAUAUAUAUAUAAAUAAAAAAUAACAUUUGUUUAUUUAUAUUAUAUUACAUCCGUCAAUAGGUCCAUGGACCCUCCUGGAAAGAUUCCGUUGUUGUUACCGUUAAAAGACAUCUAAAAUGACCAUGAGAAAUACUCGUUCGAGCAUGAAACGAGACCCAUAAUGUCGAGUGUCGACUUUACCAAGAUCGAUAGUGAGACAGAACGAUUCAAAGAUCGUCAUAGAAAUUCUAACAUUCUUAUUGUUAGCCAACCACCGUAAUUUUUAAAUAAAAAAAAAAAAAAUCAAAUUA